AAAUAACUACAGCAACUAGCAUAAUAAUGUAAAGAAGCAGCGGCCAUCGCAGUCCAGAAACGGGCGAUGGCGAUGGCGAUGCCAUAGACAAUUUUCAUAAUGGACAGAAAUAAAUCUGAAGAGCAGAAGCUACAGCUGAAGCUGAAGGAACAGCAGCAGCAGCAGCAGAAGCAGCUGCAGCCUGGGAAACUGAUCGACGAGCACAACUUAAUUAAUAAACUAAUGAGCAGUUUGCAGCCAAGUCCACCGAAGUUCCAAGACCCCCCUUCCAACCCGGUGGAGUUCAUCUGCGAGAUUAUCUACAUAAAGUAGUCCCCGACGCGGACGUGCAUCGUGCUCGGAUAUGGCUAAAAAGCCCAGCCUAUUUGCUAAGAGAUCGUCCAGAAAUUAAAAUAAAUGUGCAACGUGCAAAAAUGCCAAAGACCCCAACCGAAAGUAAAACCGGAACGUGUUCAGCGCCAAAAUACGGCGAAACGGAACGAAACGAAAAGUAAGGCGGGCAAAAAACUGAUUUAUGCAUAUGGCAACGGGACGGACUGUACGUGGAAAUCCCGAUGAGGCAUCUUGUGGAAAUUCGUUUUGCAUAUUAUAAUUGUGUUCAAAUGAUGGCAAGAUUUUCAUUCAGUUAAUAGUUUAGUAUCAUAUAGAAUGUCUAAUUACAUUUUAUAUAUCCACAACUUUUAAGAACUUACAAAAGUAAAUAAAAAACAAAUUGUUGGUGCUUAGCAGAAU
ensembl:ncRNA lncRNA:TS6 long noncoding RNA: testis-specific 6